rnacentral:lncRNA from 1 species
AGAUUGUCAGAGUCUUUAAUAACCUGAUGUUUUCAUUUGAUCAGAUUCUUCAGCUUCUGUCCCCAUCGGCAUCAUUCUUGGUGCUGCUGCUGGUGUCCUCCUGUUGAUUGUCUCUGGUGUUGCUGGGUAUAAGGUCUAUCAGAAAAAGAAAGGCUUUAAACCUGUCAAUGCUUCUGAUGAUGGUUCAAACAGCUCAGCUCAUUCAGAUCCAAAACCAUAAAGAUGUAAGUGUAUUAUUAUUAUUAUUAUUCAUUAGUGCAACUGUUUCACAACUGUUAGUGCAAUUAAAUGUAACAUGUUUUUGCCAUUUUAGGAGACCAGAUGAGUGCAAGAGAUGAAGUAAAAAUGAUGCUUAUCCUGCUGUCCAUCGUGCUUAUAACACACAAACACACACAUUCUCUCACACACACACACACACACGGGAUCAUAGAUUUCAGUGACAGGAUUGAUUUAUAUUAGGGUUCAACAUUAAUUACAUCUGCAAAGUUUUUGUUUCAUCACACUUUAUGCUCAUCUUCUGUUUUUCUUUAAUUGUUUGAACUUGUUCAUUUUAAGAUGACACGUUGAUCUCAGAACUUAAUUGUAAAAUGUAUAUAUUUCUCUUUGCUGACAAAACCAGAGAAAACCAAGAAUGCAAAUAAUUGAUUUGCAAGUUUGAUCAAUUUGCAGGAUUUGUGAUAUCAGUACUGACUGUGAAAAAAGAGAAACUUGUGAAUGUGUUUGUAGUCAGUCAGAGUAUAUUAUAGCAGUCACAUGAGAUGAGACUAUUUCUGUGAGAAAUAAAAUAUGAAAUAAAUCAGGGGAAGGCUAACAAGUCAUGG